rnacentral:rRNA from 1 species
UAGAGGAAGUAAAAGUCGUAACAAGGUUUCCGUAGGUGAACCUGCGGAAGGAUCAUUACAGUAGUCACCCGGGUUGCCGCAAGGCCUCCCGGGUAACCUACCACCCUUUGUUUAUUACACUUUGUUGCUUUGGCAAGCCUGCCCUCGGGCUGCUGGCUCCGGCCGGCGAGCGCUUGCCAGAGGACCUAAACUCUGUUUGUCUAUACUGUCUGAGUACUAUAUAAUAGUUAAAACUUUCAACAACGGAUCUCUUGGUUCUGGCAUCGAUGAAGAACGCAGCGAAAUGCGAUAAGUAAUGUGAAUUGCAGAAUUCAGUGAAUCAUCGAAUCUUUGAACGCACAUUGCGCCCCCUGGUAUUCCGGGGGGCAUGCCUGUCCGAGCGUCAUUACAACCCUCAAGCUCAGCUUGGUGUUGGGCCCCGCCGCUCCGGCGGGCCCUAAAGUCAGUGGCGGUGCCGUCCGGCUCCGAGCGUAGUAAUUCUUCUCGCUCUGGAGGUCCGGUCGUGUGCUUGCCAGCAACCCCCAAUUUUUUUCAGGUUGACCUCGGAUCAGGUAGGGAUACCCGCUGAACUUAAGCA